CAUUACCUAGAGUUGUAGGCUUUGCCUGCUAUCUCUUACCCAUGUCUUUUAAGUACCUUACGUUUCCUCGGCGGGUCCGCCCGCCGAUUGGACAAUUUAAACCAUUUGCAGUUGCAAUCAGCGUCUGAAAAAACUUAAUAGUUACAACUUUCAACAACGGAUCUCUUGGUUCUGGCAUCGAUGAAGAACGCAGCGAAAUGCGAUAAGUAGUGUGAAUUGCAGAAUUCAGUGAAUCAUCGAAUCUUUGAACGCACAUUGCGCCCCUUGGUAUUCCAUGGGGCAUGCCUGUUCGAGCGUCAUUUGUACCUUCAAGCUCUGCUUGGUGUUGGGUGUUUGUCUCGCCUCUGCGUGUAGACUCGCCUCAAAACAAUUGGCAGCCGGCGUAUUGAUUUCGGAGCGCAGUACAUCUCGCGCUUUGCACUCAUAACGACGACGUCCAAAAGUACAUUUUUACACUCUUGACCUCGGAUCAGGUAGGGAUACCCGCUGAACUUAAGCAUAUCAAUAAGCGGA
rnacentral:rRNA from 1 species